rnacentral:rRNA from 1 species
ACACGACUCUCGGCAACGGAUAUCUCGGCUCUCGCAUCGAUGAAGAACGUAGCGAAAUGCGAUACCUGGUGUGAAUUGCAGAAUCCCGCGAACCAUCGAGUCUUUGAACGCAAGUUGCGCCCGAGGCCACUUGGCUGAGGGCACGCCUGCCUGGGCGUCACGC